UUAGUACGAACUAGCCUAAAAGUGCUGAACAAAUACAAAAAUGUGAUGCAUCACUCUCAUCCCAUUAUAGUUAAAAGUUUAGCGAGUAGUUAAGUUAUGCAACGGAAUGCAACAACAGUCAAGCGCAAGUUCACUUCUCUCCGGCAUCAGCCAGAACGCCACCACCAUCUUCAUCUUCGUGGUGUCCCCACAACAAAAACAAAUAUAAUGACAGCGCGGAGACAGCGGCAUGGCGUCUGAUGCAAGACGAUCCGAGCAGGAAAGCCCCCGGAGGGAAAAAGCUGUCAUCAAGCGCUUCGGCUGCCUGCUUUCAUGCCUUUAUUACAGGAUGAGAUGGUGAA